AAGAAUUAUUCUUAGAUGGGGGUAAUUUUCUAAUAGUCUAUAUAUUUUUUCUAACAUUUUUUUAAACAUUUUCCUUUUGUAUAAGGGUAACUAAAUACUCUCUAGUGGUUUUUCUCGAAUAUUUUCUAUCUAUCAGAAAUUUCUUCUUGUGGAAACAUGUUUAUAUUUUGAUGUGGGUUAAAUGCUUUUAGUGAUUUUGGUUAUCUUGUUUUAAUUUUAUAUUUUUGGGUUUAGCAAAAAAAUUUUUUGUAUUUUUUUUUAUUUCUUUUUUAUUUUAAAAAAUGAUUGGUGGGUGUUAUAACCAAGCUUUAUUUUUAUUAAUUUUCAUUUUUUUAUUAAAAUUUUUGUUUUUAUGUAAUUUUUUAAUUAGUAUAUUAUUUUAUUUUUUUAGGUUUUUUUGUAAUUAGCUUUUAUAUAAAUUAUAUAACUUUGCAAUAUGUUUAAAAACUGUUUAACAAAAACUUAGGUUUUAUAAAAACUAUUUUCUGCUCAAUGCUUUUUAAGUAAAUAGCCGCAAUUUUAUUGUGCUAAGGUAGCGUGGUCAUUUGUUUUUUAAUUGAAAACCUGUAUGAAUGAAAAAAAUUUUAGGCAUCUUUUAUACUUUAUAAAAUAAAAUUUAUAUUUUGGGUGAAAAUACCUAUUUUUUUUAAAAGACGAGAAGACCCUAAAAAUUUUACUCCUACACCUAUAAUUGUAGAAGUUUGGUUGGGGCAAUUUUUAUAGAUUCAAUCUAUUUUAUAUAUUUUAUUAUACCUUUUUUUUAAUUGUUUGGUAAUUACUUUAGGGAUAACAGUGUAAUUUUUUUUGUGAGUUCUUAUUUUCAAUUAAUAUUGCUACCUCGAUGUUGGUUUAAUAAUUCUUUAAGGUGCAGCAGCUUUAUAAGAUAGUCUGUUCGACUAUUAAAAUAUCACUUGAACUGAGUUCAAAUCGGCGUGAGCCAGAUUGGUUUUUAUCUUUAAAUUUUAUUUAGUUUUUUAGUACGAAAGGAUUUUAAAUUUAAAAUUGU
rnacentral:rRNA from 1 species